UACGUAGGGGGCAAGCGUUGUUCGGAAUUACUGGGCGUAAAGGGUGCGCAGGCGGCGUCGCAAGUCAGGCGUGAAAUCCCCGGGCUUAACCUGGGAACUGCACUUGAAACUACGAUGCUGGAGUAUGGCAGAGGGAGGUGGAAUUCCACGUGUAGCGGUGAAAUGCGUAGAGAUGUGGAGGAACGCCGAUGGCGAAGGCAGCCUCCUGGGCCAAUACUGACGGUCAUGCACGAAAGCGUGGGGAGCAAACAGG
rnacentral:rRNA from 1 species